UACGAAGGGGGCUAGCGUUGCUCGGAAUUAUUGGGCGUAAAGCGUGCGUAGGCGGUUCGUUAAGUCUGUUGUGAAAGCCCCGGGCUCAACCUGGGAAUGGCAAUGGAUACUGGCGAGCUAGAGUGUGUCAGAGGAUGGUGGAAUUCCCGGUGUAGCGGUGAAAUGCGUAGAGAUCGGGAGGAACACCUGUGGCGAAGGCGGCCCCCUGGUUGGAUACUGACGCUGAUACGCGAAAGCGUGGGAGCAACAGG
rnacentral:rRNA from 1 species